GCUGGUGUAGCUCAGUUGGUAGAGCAACGGUUUCGUAAACCGUGGGUCAGCGGUUCAACUCCGCUCACCAGCUCCA
rnacentral:tRNA from 1 species